UACGUAGGGUGCAAGCGUUAAUCGGAAUUACUGGGCGUAAAGCGUGCGCAGGCGGCUUUGCAAGACAGAUGUGAAAUCCCCGGGCUUAACCUGGGAACUGCAUUUGUGACUGCAUGGCUAGAGUGCGGCAGAGGGGGAUGGAAUUCCGCGUGUAGCAGUGAAAUGCGUAGAUAUCUGGAGGAACACCGAUGGCGAAGGCAAUCCCCUGGACCUGUACUGACGCUCAUGCACGAAAGCGUGGGGAGCAAACAGG
rnacentral:rRNA from 1 species